GGAUUAGAUACCCCGGUAGUCCACGCCGUAAACGGUGGGUGCUAGGUGUAGGCGGUAUUCCACGCCGUCUGUGCCGCAGCUAACGCAUUAAGCACCCCGCCUGGGGAGUACGGCCGCAAGGCUAAAACUCAAAGGAAUUGACGGGGGCCCGCACAAGCAGCGGAGCAUGUGGCUUAGUUCGACGCAACGCGAAGAACCUUACCAAGGCUUGACAUACACCGAAAACUCGUAGAGAUACGGGGUCCGCAAGGGCGGUGUACAGGUGGUGCAUGGUUGUCGUCAGCUCGUGUCGUGAGAUGUUGGGUUAAGUCCCGCAACGAGCGCAACCCUCGUUCUAUGUUGCCAGCGCGUUAUGGCGGGGACUCAUAGGAGACUGCCGGGGUCAACUCGGA
rnacentral:rRNA from 1 species